CAGUUAAGUAGUUUAUAAGAAUACGAACUUUGGGUGUUUGAGGAUCUGUAAUAAUACGGGCUUGCUGA
rnacentral:tRNA from 1 species